UAAUUUAUUUUUUCCUUGUUUCUAGAAAAUCUCAUUAAUUAACCAUCGUCAUAGUGAGACUCAUAGAAGUGGCAAAACCAUGGGAGUUUGAGUGGGACGAGAGACAGAGAGAGAGCUUUGUGUUGUAUUUUCGGAGCGAGCGAGAGAUGAAGGGGAAGGGAAUAGCAGUUUCGAGCCCUAAGAGCGGAGAAGACACUGAGAAAGAUUCCUCCUUACCUACCAUCAGAUUCUCUUCCCGAAAUGCUUCCUCCAAAUAUGACUUCGUCAAGGUAAAGGUGUGGUUGGGUGAAAAUGCGGAUCACUACUACGUUCUAUCCAGAUUCUUGCUCAGCAGAAUGUUAACUGUCACUAAGAUUCCAAAUCAUGUAGCUAUCAAAAUUGCUCUUGAACUCAAGAAGCUGCUCAUUGACAACAGCCUUCUAGAUGUCUCCCAGUCUGAUUUGGAAGCUAAUCUGUUUAAGCUUAUGGAGCGGCGGGGUUAUGGGGAAGAGUACAUUAGUCGAUACAAGAUGAUGACCAGAUUUCACCACCAAAGAGUGCCAUUGGUAAUUCUUGUAUGUGGAACUGCCUGUGUUGGAAAGUCUACCAUUGCUACCCAACUGGCCCAAAGGCUAAAUUUGCCGAAUGUCCUACAGACAGAUAUGGUGUAUGAAUUGCUGCGAACGGCGACAGAUGCACCAUUGGCAUCUACUCCUGUAUGGGCCCGAGACUUCAGCUCCUCUGAGGAAUUGAUCACUGAAUUUUGUAGAGAAUGCAGAAUUGUCCGUAAAGGUUUGGCUGGUGAUAUGAAGAAAGCGAUGAAAGAUGGGAAGCCAAUUAUAAUUGAGGGAAUGCAUUUAGAUCCAAGCAUUUAUUUGAUGGAUGACGAAAAUAAGACACCUGCUAACAUGCUGGAAAAAUCUAAAGAGGCUAAUCAUGUAUCUGUGACAUGUGAUGAUAGUACAGCGACAGAGAUUGAAAAUAAUUCUAGCAGUGUUUGUGGAAAUGACAGUAAAAAGAGCAACUGUCCUGGGCAUGUGAGCUCAGAAGAAGGGAGUUCUGCUGAUCAGCUGAGCAAAGUCUCGGAUACACUGGAGUCUAUCAACCUAGCUGGAAAUGUAUCUGGGAGCAAAGGUGAAACUCUUAAAGAUACAGAGACUGGUGGAAAUAGUGCUGUUAGGAAGGAGAAGUCUGGUGCUGAACCAAUAAUUGUACCUAUAGUUCUGAAGAUGUCUGAAUUUGAUCAUAAGGCAUUACUGGAGGAGUGGAUCUCGACUCGUAUGUUUAAGGAUAAAUGUCUAGUCCAGGAUAAAGAUAAGCUAAUAACCAACUUAAAAACCAUUCAGGACUAUCUUUGCUCGUUCAAGUCACAGGGUUUGACGGUUGUCAAUAUAUCACCAACGGCAUUCCCACAAACACUGGAUUGGCUGCACGGUUAUCUUCUUCAGUGUAUUGAGCAGGGCAUUUCAUCUGAGUCCAACGAAAAGGGGAGACAACCAGCUGAAAAUUAGAACACAUGCUGAUGUUAGCCUGAGAGAGGUCUACACCCUUUAUUACUUAUCCAAGAAGAUGAUAGGAAAAGAAAAGAUUGCAGAAAGGAGAAUGAAAAAUAAGGUGUCUGUCAAAGAUGCUUUCCAUUUUGAGGUUUUUAUUCAACCGGGAAGAAAGGGAUAGCCCUCGUAAUGAUCUAAAUUCAAAUGGGGAGAGAGACCAAAAUCCGUAAGGGUUCCGGGCAUGACUACAUUGGGAAGUGGCUGGAAGUUGGAGGACCAAAUGUCAGGAAGUGAAUGUAAAGCUGAGCUUUUCACAGGGACCUUUCUUGAGCCUCUAGCCGUAUGAAACUUUUCUUGGAUAAAUGAAGGGUCUUGGGAGUCGUAAUCUUUUGAUUGCAAUUCGGUUUCGCUCCAAUUGCAACACCCUGCACUUCCUGAAAUCCAGGUGCCCGAUUUUUGAGACCAGAUCAUUCUCUAGAAAGCAUGCGUGCAGGGCUCCAGUAAUGGUUGGAUAAGUUAUUGUUUUAUGAUACUUGGUGUUCCCUUGGUGUUUGAGACGUUUUACAAAUGUAUUGUUACGAUUAGGCCGUAUUCUAUGGUUACAAUUCCACCGUAUUAUUAUGUUUUUAUCAGUUCACCAUUUUAGAAGGGGAGGGAGGGGUUAUUCUGAAGUCUAAUUGUAUGAUGUGAUUUGUAUGCAUUGAACUCAUCUUUUUCUUCGCAUUGUAAUUAUGCUUGAAAUGCA